rnacentral:rRNA from 1 species
AAUAGGCUAAUUAAGAGCGUAAGGGGAAUGCCUUGGCUCUCAGAGGCGAUGAAGGACGUGAUAAGCUGCGAUAAGCUGUGGGGAGUGGCACAAACACUUUGAUCCGCAGAUUUCCGAAUGGGGUAACCCGGCAUAUUGAAGAUAUGUCACACUGUAAAGUGAGCGAACCUGGUGAACUGAAACAUCUAAGUAACCAGAGGAAUAGAAAACAAAAGUGAUUCCGCUAGUAGUGGCGAGCGAACGUGGAACAGCCUAAACCUAUGUUGUU